rnacentral:tRNA from 1 species
GAAUUCGAAGUAAUUUAUUACAAUCAGUUUCGACCUGAUAUUAGGUAAAUUUAUUACCCUUAUUCU